AGUGAACGCUGGCGGUAGGCCUAACACAUGCAAGUCGAACGGCAGCACAGUAAGAGCUUGCUCUUACGGGUGGCGAGUGGCGGACGGGUGAGGAAUACAUCGGAAUCUACUUUUUCGUGGGGGAUAACGUAGGGAAACUUACGCUAUACCGCAUACGACCUUCGGGUGAAAGCAGGGGAUCUUCGGACCUUGCGCGGUUGAAUGAGCCGAUGUCGGAUUAGCUAGUUGGCGGGGUAAAGGCCCACCAAGGCGACGAUCCGUAGCUGGUCUGAGAGGAUGAUCAGCCACACUGGAACUGAGACACGGUCCAGACUCCUACGGGAGGCAGCAGUGGGGAAUAUUGGACAAUGGGCGCAAGCCUGAUCCAGCCAUACCGCGUGGGUGAAGAAGGCCUUCGGGUUGUAAAGCCCUUUUGUUGGGAAAGAAAAGCAGCAGGUUAAUACCCCGCUGUUCUGACGGUACCCAAAGAAUAAGCACCGGCUAACUUCGUG
rnacentral:rRNA from 1 species